rnacentral:piRNA from 1 species
UACUAAUCUCUGAAGGUGCGGCGGCAGA